rnacentral:rRNA from 1 species
UACAGAGGGGGCAAGCGUUAUUCGGAAUUAUUGGGCGUAAAGGGCGCGUAGGCGGCUUUGCAAGUGACGGGUGAAAUCCCUCGGCUUAACCGAGGAACUGCCUGUCAAACUGCAUGGCUUGAGACCGGGAGAGGUGAGUGGAAUUCCCAGUGUAGCGGUGAAAUGCGUAGAUAUUGGGAGGAACACCAGUGGCGAAGGCGGGUUGCUGGGCCGACACUGACGCUGAUGCGCGAAAGCCAGGGGAGCGAACGGG